GCUUACGGCCAUACCACGUUGAAAGCACGCCAUCCCGUCCGAUCUGGCAAGUUAAGCAACGUUGGGCCUGCUUAGUACUUGGAUCGGAGACGGCUUGGGAAUCCCAUGUUACCAUGAAUU
rnacentral:rRNA from 1 species